UCUACUGGUGGCACCUUGGGACACUUGGUUUUGCUGGUGGCACUCAGUGAGGAGGACGCCAAUCCUUCCUCCAAGCUACAACCACCCAGAGCUUUCCUUCUACUGGCAUAACCUUUGAAAAACUUCAAUGUCACAGGUGUUCUCAUGUACUUUCAGGAACUCACUCAAAGUUUUGUAAUCUGAGAUCAUAGGACUGGAAAGGACCAGAAGGCAUCUCCAUC